rnacentral:lncRNA from 1 species
GUCCUGGCAAUAUCACAAGACCAUUACUGAUGAAUGGUGAAAGUGAAAAUCGUCAAUAUCAAAUUUGACCUCCAUUUUGUCAUCAGUAUCAACAUCUUAAAAUUUGAAAAGCUUAGAUUGAAUGGUUCAUGAGUAAAUGCAACAACGUGAAUGGAAACGCCAUUUCACAAUCUUUCAAGAACCAUAACUCCUGAACAGUAAAAG